GCUCCCCAUAUAGAUGCACUGAUUCAAAAGCCUACUAAUGCUUUCUUAUGGGAAAGCGUCGGGUUGACUGAUCGUCACAUGUUCUCGAUGUUAUCAGCCAUGGAGGCGGGACCAGGCGUGAUGAAACUGACAUGGCACUGGAAAAAAUGUGAGUAAAAUCACCUUUUUAAAGGCAGGCAAGGGGUACUGGAAACCUAAAUAGUGAUUUUACUAUAUUGUCAGGAAUACACGUUUGUGUUCCUGACACUAUAGUGUUUCUUUAACUCCUUAAGGACGGCGAGCAUUCUAUUGCCAUCCUUGGGUGCCUGGUUCUAAAUGCGGGCAGUAUAGAAAGUCCCCGCCGUCCUAUGUACUUACCUGGUCGCUGGCGAUAGCGGUGGGGAGACUCACCUGGCAUCCCAGGGAGUCCCCCUGCUUCCGUUCAUUGGCCAAAUUUGGCGUUCAAAUUAGUUUUUUGCAUUUUUCACAUACAAACAAAUAUUAAUACUAG